rnacentral:rRNA from 1 species
AUAUUACUAAGCGGAGGAAAAGAGACUAACGAGGAUUCCCCUAGUAACGGCGAGUGAAGAGGGAAGAGCCCAAGCCUAAAGUCUCCCUGCCACCGGGCGGGGCGAAUUGUAGUGUUAGGAGUGCCUCCUUCGGAGGCGGGGUCUGGACAAGUAACCUGGAAAGGUUCACCAUAGAGGGUGACAGUCCCGUGUCCAAGUCCCUGCCGCCGGCAUGCUGGCACCUCCUCGAGUCGAGCUGUUCGGAAUUGCAGCUCUAAGUGGGUGGUAAGCUCCAUCCAAGGCUAAAUACUGGCAAGAGACCGAUAGCGCACAAGUA